rnacentral:lncRNA from 1 species
UUUUGGAGAAUAUAUUUUGUAGCCUCUUUGAGAGUCUUUAGCAAGGUGGAAUCCUUGGACAAGGUGGAAUCCUUGUGUUGAUCAUUUGCUUAGAAACGGAGAUUGCUUGGGAAUUUCGGUUCCCUUGAGGUCAUGUAAGAGAUAGGUUUAAGUUGUGUGUGCUAUUAAAUGUCUAAAAGUGGAAUAAGCUUUUGGGUUGUUAAUAUUAUACCAUCCCUUUGUCUAUCUAUCUAUCUUUACUUUCUUGUAAUCGUUUGUCUAUAUCUAGUGUAAUCCAUUUGUGUUCUUGUCUUGUAACCGUGUGUUGUUGUUAUUUCAUCUUGUUCAUCAAGUGUUGUUGCUGUUAUAGUGUGUUUUACUCUUGAUAUCACUUCCUUUCUUGUUCUUCUUGUGAAUCUGAGAGAGGUCAUCAAAAAGGUCCAUAGUUCUUGAACUAGUGGACUAAUUUUGGUGUUUGUGUUGUUGUGUUCUUGAGGAGUUUGGUAUCAAAGAAAGGAUGGUUGUGUUCCUACACUACCAAUCUUGGGUUCUCUUGGACGAAAAUUAAAAAAACAAAAGAAGCUGAAAACUGAAAAAAAUUUCUAGAAAAGUGCAAAUCUGUCCAUUUUGUGUUCUUGGCCGAAAAUUGUGUUGUUAUCUUGGCCAAGAUUUGUUUGUUGUAUGUCUAGAACUUGUAGUCUUUUGUUUGUUUAGAGUUUUUUUAGUGUUGGUUUCUUUCUCAUCAACACUAAAAAGUGUACAAAUUUAAGAUUGAACUUGAACUUGAACUUGUUGAAGUUGUUGAUGUGAACAAAGUGUGGCCGAGUUGGAUGUUUUUGUUACCUAAACCUUGACCGAUUUGAUGGUCUUGUUAUAGUGGAGUUGAAAACUGAAAUUAUUGUUGUUCUUGGAGUUGUUGUGUUCUUAAAGUUCUUCACCCUUUCAUCAUCUUGUUAAUCCUUAAAGUGUAAACUAGAUCUAAAAAGGUGAAAGACAAACUUGUAGUAGUUGUUAGUGAAAGACUUGUCCCUAUUACUUCAAAGACUUUUCAUCUACUUUUCCUUGAUUUAAGGACCUUGUUUCAAGGAUAAAGUUCAAAGAAGUCAAGUUUUUCUUUUGAAAUUUGAACAAAAAGGCUCCAAGACCACUUUUCCCUCCAUUAACCAAAUCCACCAAUUCCAAACUGUAUAUUGAUCAAGACUUGAAAUUGGGAAAUAAAAUUUUAAUAAAAAUCGAGGCCAAUAGUGGAAUGCCAUGUCACUAAAGUACUGUUCACGCAACAUUUUUGAGUUCAAAUUUUAGAUUUCUUAGUUUCAUUUUAUUGUUUCCUAGUUUCGUUUGUUUGCUCGACACUAAUUGACAACCUAGUUAUACCCUACUAGCUUGUAAGUUAGUUUUGUGUAAGUUCUUUGCGUUAACGUUGUUUGUUGUGUGCUUUUCUCGUUUUUGAGUCAUGGUAUCUUUUUUGGUUCAAGUUCAUACAUUACUUAUUUGUGUUAUUCCAAACAAGAAUCUACUCUGACCUCGAGCCACAAUUGGGACCAAGUAACCUCAUUGGAGUAUAAGCGAGUUAUCAACUGUAAGGCCAAUAGACUGAAAAAUUCAAAGUGUGAAAAGGAGGGAUUGUGGACUAUUUUGAGAUGCAUUAUGAGCUGUUUAUGAUGAAUUGUGGACUAAUUUUUGCUAAUCUUUAAUAUGUUUGUUGUUUUCGUGUUGUUUGCUUAGUAUCUCUUGAUGGGUAUAAUGGUGAAUGAAGCUGAAAUACCUAGUUGGGUUAAAUCCAUCAUGGUAAGGCUUGAUGCCAUAGAUAGGCAAAUAAUGGAUAGAAUAUAAGGAAGAUUGGAAGGGACAAAAGGCUCUCUGUGCAAGAAGUUGGAUAACUUGAUGGAGCAUCCAACCUUCCUGAUCAAAUUCCCUUGAGUGGCCAUGCUCUACAUGAGCUACAAUGUAAUCAAAAUAACUUUUGUACUCUAGUGAAUGAGGAUAAUAGCCAACUAAGUAUGAAUGAUAUUUUGUCUUUAAGUGAGCCAAAUGUGCCUUUAUUUUCUGAUGAUAAUGUACAACUUGAUAUUGUGGAUACACUAGUUGAUUCACCUAGUGUUGAAGCCAUUGCGGAAAGUGGUAGUACAUUGUCUUAUGGAAGUCAUGAAGACCAACUUGUGUGUGAAAAUGAUGAUGUUGAACAUGUUGGCCGAAUGACUAAGGAUGACCCUCUAGUUUUUUUGUUAUGGACCAUGAUAGUAUAGAGGGGACAUUUGAUCAUUAUUGUAGUAUUAUUGGGGUAAGGAAGUGUAUUCCCAACUCGUGCCCAUGGACACUCUACCUAUUUGAUUCUGGUGAUCAUUUGAAGUGUGGUGAUGAAGAUGUCUUUUGGAAUGACUUGAAUAUGCAUGGUCCUCUCUUGGCUUUCAAGUCUAAUUGUUGUUCCAAGAAGAGUCUAAGUUUUCCACUUGAUAAACGACGCUUGUUCCUUGUUUCUUAUCACACUUAUGUGGAUAAACUAGUUGAUUCUACCUCGGUAGGGUAUUCGGGUAAGAGGGAUGUUUGGGUAUAUGUGAAGUUUCAGACACCUUGGCAAGAUACUAUGAUUGAUUACACUAAUCCUAACCUCAUACCUUGAGGAACUUUUGUUUGAUUGUCCUUCCUAUUUCUUUACAAGAUUUGAAUUCGAGGACAAAUCCUUUCUAAGGAGGGGGGGAUGAUACGGGUAUGAUCAUGAUCGGGUUCCAAUGCGUCAAUACUCGAGCUCAGGGGGCUUCCCAUCCAAGGAACAAGCUUUGAAGUUUAGAGAACAAGUCCCACAAGCUCCAAAACAAUUCACUGUUCAUCCGCCCUUUGCAAGGGUUUUUUAGUCAUUUGUAAUAAGUUAACCUAGGUAUAAAUAGAACCUUAUUAGUUCAUUUUUGGGGAGAUUUUUUGGAGAAUAUAUUUUGUAGACUCUUUGAGAGUCUUUAGUAAGGUGGAAUCCUUGGACAAGGUGGAAUCCUUGUGUUGAUCAUUUGCUUAGAAACAGAGAUUGCUUGGGAAUUUCGGUUCCCUUGAGGUCACGUAAGAGAUAGGUUUAGGUUGUGUGUGAUAUUAAAGGUCCAAAAGUGGAAUAAGCUUUUGGGUUGUUAAUGUUAUACCAUCC